rnacentral:rRNA from 1 species
GGGACAUGAACACGGGCCCCGACUUCUUACGGGGGCAGCCGGUAGGGAAUUUUCCCCAUUGAAGAAAAUUCCGGCGGAGCCACGCCGCCGUGAGUGAUGAAGGUUUUCGGAUCGUAAAACUACGGUUGACGGGAGGAACCAAGUACGGAGAAGUAACUGCUUCGUACCUUAGACGGAUACCUAACCAGAAAAGCCACGGCCUAACUACGUGCCCAGCAGCCGCGGUAAUACGUAGGGUGGCAAGCGUUUGUCCGGAAUUAUUGGGCGUAAAGCGCGCGCAGGCGGUCCUUUAAAGUCUGAUGUGAAAGCCCACGGCUCAACCGUGGAGGGUCAUUGGAAACUGGGGGACUUGAGUGCAGGAGAGAAGAGUGGAAUUCCACGUGUAGCGGUGAAAUGCGUAGAGAUGUGGAGGAACACCAGUGGCGAAGGCGACUCUUUGGCCUGUAACUGACGCUGAGGCGCGAAAGCGUGGGGAGCAAACAGGAUUACAUACCCUGGUAGUCCACGCCGUAAACGAUGAGAGCUCCAAGUUAGAGGGUUUCCGCCCUUUAGUGCUGCAGUAAACGCAUUAAGCACUCCGCCUGGGGAGUACGGCCGCAAGGCUGAAACUCAAAGGAAUUGACGGGGACCCGCACAAGCGGUGGAGCAUGUGGUUUAAUUCGAAGCAACGCGAAGAACCUUACCAGGUCUUGACAUCCUCUGACAAUCCUAGAGAUAGGACGUUCCCCUUCGGGGGACAGAGUGACAGGUGGUGCAUGGUUGUCGUCAGCUCGUGUCGUGAGAUGUUGGGUUAAGUCCCGCAACGAGCGCAACCCUUAUUCUUAGUUGCCAGCAUUCAGUUGGGCACUCUAAAGAAACUGCCGGUGACAAACCGGAGGAAGGUGGGGAUGACGUCAAAUCAUCAUGCCCCUAUGACCUGGGCUAACAAACGGUGCUAAAAUGGAUGGUACAAAUGGUUGCGAGACCGCGAGGUUUAAGCAUCCCAUAAAACAUCUCAGUCGAUUGUAAGCUGCAACUCGCCCUACAUGAAGCCGGAAUCGCCUUAGUAAAUCC